rnacentral:misc_RNA from 1 species
ACCCCGUCUUUAAGAGCCGAAGUGUGGAAGUUUUUACUGGACUACUUCCCUUGGUCGAGUACAGAAACCGAAAGACAAAAACUUCAAGCUGUCAAAAGCGACGAGUAUUACAACAUGAAAUUGCAAUGGAAACGAAUGACCAAAGUUCAAGAAGACAACUUCUCUGAUUAUCGAGAAAGAAAAAGUUUGAUAGAGAAAGAUGUCAACAGAACCGACAGAACGUUAGAUUUCUACGCCGGUGACAAUAAUGCUAAUUUACAGACGUUAAACGAUAUCCUUAUGACGUAUAUAAUGUUCAAUUUUGAUUUAGGUUAUGUUCAAGGGAUGAGCGAUCUGUUAAGUCCGAUUUUGAUGUUGUUGGACAAUGAGGUAGACUCGUUUUGGUGUUUUGUAGGAUUCAUGAAUAAAGUGAGUCGAAACUUCGAUAUUGAUCAAGCUGGAAUGAAGGACCAACUGGGUAAUUUACACACACUUCUUGCCUUUGUCAAUCCGCAACUUGCCACUUAUUUAGACACUCACGAUUCAGGAAACAUGUUCUUCUGCUUUAGGUGGUUGUUAGUUUGGUUUAAAAGGGAGCUCAGUCAGGAAGAUGUCAUGAGGUUUUGGGAGGUUCUCUGGACGGGAUAUCCUUGCGAAAACUUCCAUCUACUUGUUUGUGUAGCUAUUUUGGAUUCGGAGACAACUACCAUUUUUCACAACAACUAUGGAUUCACUGAAAUAUUAAAGCAUGUAAACGACUUGAAUGGCAAACUGGACAUGGCCAUAAUGCUCAACAAAGCAGAAGGCAUAUACUACCAAAUCAAAGAAUCUGAGCACCUAACCGACAACAUAAGGAUCAUACUCGGUUUACCGAUUCUCCAAACCCAAACUUCCUACGGGAGCCACGAGCAAUCUCCAUUCGAAGACAGCACAGACAUGAGCAAUGGAACCCAACCUUGUUGUUCCGUGGAUAACGUGAGAAUCAGUCCAGACGAAGUAGCUUACGAAAAGUCGAUCAAUUCGAGCUUUUUAUAGUAGUACUCUGAUAGUGUAUGUAAGGUAAUUUUCUAAGAUUUUAUUGGCCAGGAGUUGCCACUCGACUGUUCGUUUUUCUGUUGUUAAUCAUGACUGUCUAGGAGCUAGGGGUGGUUGAGUAUGCACUAUUAUAUCCCAUCGGUACAUUGACGUUUCUUUUUGUUUUUUGGCGCGUAGAUUCGAUUUUUCAAUGGUACCAGGCUGAAAAUCUGUUAGAUAAUUUGUUAUUAGCAAUUUAAUUGUUUAAA